rnacentral:sRNA from 1 species
UUACAUUAAAUUUAAAAUUUAUGAAAAAAUAUCAGUUUAAAAUUGUUAUAAGCUUAUUAAAAUGAUUUCAUUAUUUUAUUGUAUUGCUAUAAUAUUCUCUUUUACUAGUUUGAAUGUGAUAGCACAAAAUACUUUAGUAAGUGUCAAUUUUAAUUAUUUCUUCUUUGAGCAAUUAAAUUUCAAUAUCUAUUUUCAAAUUAUGAUUGACAAAUAAGAAUAAUCAAAAAACAAAUUUACAAGUCUUUGAAGUGAGCAAUCAACUGCAAAGCUUACAUAUCUCAGAUAAAGCAGCUUUAAAAUCUUUUGAUAAUAGCAUCAGUCAAAUACAUAAAACAAUCACCCCAUUGAACUCUAAGCAAAAAUCAUUUAAAGAAUUUUCGCGUCGUGAUUUAAAAAUGUUGAGCCGCGCAGUUCAAUGCGAGACGCAAUGGUGUACGUUCAAUCAUGAAUGUCUAAGAUAUGGUGCAGACUGCAGGCAUUGCCUGCUCAGUAAAUGUUACAGAUUGCUGUGAUUUAUUUAGUAUAAUAAAUGUAAACUAUCUAGUGCACUGCCUCCCGUACUUUCCAUGUGGGGAAACGUGUCAGAUCUGUCUUUCUUUUGGGACGCCGUGAGUUCUGCGCAGGCAGAGCUUAUGGUGUAGGAUUCUCUGUUGGUUAGGUGAAUUGCCUUCGCAAUACCCAUGGCUAGUUCUUCAAGAUUCUCCAAGUUGGAUGGGCGAGGCAGACAGGAAUAUGAGUAUGGAUAGAGUAUUUGCUGAGAGUAUGAGUGAAGGUCCAUGUAGGCAAUGAAUUUAAUGUUAUGCCGUUCUGUUUGGUCUUUCAUUCAUUGUGCUAAUUGGUGGGCUUCGACUCCCGCGAAUGGCUCAUCUCCGGCGUAGCUUUCCGAGCAAGGGUUAUCCCCAGUAGCAUUGCCAUUCCAUUCGUUUGUUUGUUUGUUUGUUUGUAUUGGUUUAACAUCUCAGAGAAAACACAGGCAGUGUCUGUGUUUCAGAAGCCUUCUGAAGGACAUGGAGAUGUGCUACACUGAAGAGAUUUCUAUGUACACAGAG